GUUAAGAAUCUUGCGCAAUGGGCGAAAGCCUGACGCAGCGACGCCGCGUGGACGAUGAAGGCCUUCGGGUUGUAAAGUCCAAUAAGCAGGGAAGAAUAAGUCAGGUAUAAUACACCUGAUGAUGACGGUACCUGUCUAAAGCCCCGGCUAACUACGUGCCAGCAGCCGCGGUAAUACGUAUGGGGCGAGCGUUGUUCGGAAUUAUUGGGCGUAAAGGGCGUUUAGGCGGGGAAUUAAGUUAGGUGUGAAAUCCAUGGGCUCAACCCAUGAAUUGCAUUUAAAACUGAUUCUCUUGAGUUCGGGAGAGGAGAGCGGAAUUCCAGGUGUAGCGGUGAAAUGCGUAGAUAUCUGGAAGAACACCAGUGGCGAAGGCGGCUCUGGCCUAGAACUGACGCUGAAGCGCGAAAGCGUGGGGAGCGAACAGGAUUAGAAACCCGAGUAGUCC
rnacentral:rRNA from 1 species